GGCAGCGGGGCUCAAUGGAAAGAGCCCGGGCUGGGGAGUCAUGGGUUCAAAUCCCGCCUCUGCCA
rnacentral:tRNA from 1 species